rnacentral:rRNA from 1 species
GACGAACGCUGGCGGCGUGCCUAAUACAUGCAAGUCGAACGAGAGCGACCGGUGCUUGCACUGGUCAAUCUAGUGGCGAACGGGUGAGUAACACGUGGGUAACCUGCCCAUCAGAGGGGGAUAACAUCCGGAAACGGAUGCUAAAACCGCAUAGGUCUCCGAACCGCAUGGUUUGAAGAGGAAAAGAGGCGCAAGCUUCUGCUGAUGGAUGGACCCGCGGUGCAUUAGCUAGUUGGUGAGGUAACGGCUCACCAAGGCCGGGAUGCAUAGCCGACCUGAGGGGGUGAUCGGCCACAUUGGGACUGAGACACGGCCCAAACUCCUACGGGAGGCAGCAGUAGGGAAUCUUCCGCAAUGGACGCAAGUCUGACGGAGCAACGCCGCGUGAGUGAAGAAGGUUUUCGGAUCGUAAAACUCUGUUGUUAGAGAAGAACAAGUGCUAGAGUAACUGUUAGCGCCUUGACGGUAUCUAACCAGAAAGCCACGGCUAACUACGUG